GACGAGGGAUCCUAGCGUUGUUCGGAAUCAUUGGGCGUAAAGCGGGUGUAGGCGGGCUUAUAAGUCAGGUGUGAAAUCCCAGGGCUCAACCCUGGAAGUGCACUUGAUACUGUAAGUCUUGAAUGUGGUAGAGGUUACUAGAAUUCCUGGUGUAGUGGUGAAAUACGUAGAUAUCAGGAGGAAUACCAGAGGCGAAGGCGGGUAACUGGGCCGUUACUGACGCUGAGGAGCGAAAGCGUGGGGAGCGAACAGG
rnacentral:rRNA from 1 species